GCUUUAGUAAUUUAAAAAAAAUAUUGGUCUUGUAAAUCAAAAUUAAGAUUAAAUUAUUCUUCUAAAGCU
rnacentral:tRNA from 1 species